rnacentral:lncRNA from 1 species
CCUGUGAACAUGAAUGAAGUUGAAGUGAUACAGAGCAACAGCUACCCUGAGAAUUAUGUCCCUCCUCCUAUCUCGCUGGCCAAGUUCAACCAGGCUAAUGGAGGCAUUCAGUGUGAUAUGAGCCAGUGGCAGGAUGCAGAGCUGGAGCAAUCCCCUGAGCAAAUGCUUUCCAAAGAUGAGUCAUGACUAGACUACAAACUAAGGGAUCACAGAGAAAGUCAAUCAGGAAUAGGAAAUUGAACACAAAUGAAGAAAAAAUGACCAUAAAUGAUGAGAUUGAGGAAGAGUAUCAUGAGAACUUCAAAAAGUGUGCCAAAAUUAAAAAGACUGUGAAAGGCAGAAAGCAGAAAACCCUGAGCAACUUCUCAAGUGGUAACAUAGUGUAUUUGUUGAAGAAAAUGCUGCCUCGAACACUGUUCUUCCCGAGGAUUCAGAAGACUGUGAGUUGGAAGAGGAAGUUGAAGAUGAAUGUAUGUGGUGGAAUGCCUCUUUGAAGAGGUUAGUCCACCAGACCCUGUGAAUUCCUUGAAAGGAAGGAUUUUUUGCAAGGCCAGCAGGAUAAUCAGGAUGCCACCUGAGUGGUCUCUCUCUCCUCAACUUAUCGUCUGGCCCACCAGAAAUAAGGACAGGUUAAAGCAUGUUGAAUAUGAGAGCAUCCCUAUGGUGUAUGAAGUGACAGGACAGGAUGGCAGGAUCCAAAGGGAACGUAUGAUGGCCAUGCAGAAGGGACUGGAGUCUAAGACAGCCUCUCACAAGUCAUGGGAAUGUAACUGUGAGAGAUGGAAAAGCAAGGUACCUUACAAAGUUUCAAACAGAUUCGAGGCAGAUGCUGUAAAGUUUAGGAAACAGCCAGCAGGUAUAGAGUUGGUAUCUAUCCUGUGUCCAGUUUUCCAAUGUCAUGAUUAGCUUUUAGGGCUUUGUUUGGGGUUUCCUACUCAGUGCAUGUUCUGUCCUCUAAAACUAACACUGCUUGUGGGCAAUGAAAAAUGGCAGCAUUCUAACUGGGUAGUAGACCUGUAUCUAUAUAGAUCCUUGCUCACAAGCAGAUUGGAGCCUAAGCCUUUUCAUUCUGUGGAGUGUCAUUUUUAUGUCAGUUUUCCACAUUUAAUUCACCAGUGCUGUUAUGGUAGUGUGUUGUAUGUUAUAUGGGAUUUUGUAAGUUAUCCUGCUGGUUCAAAGUGUCCCAGGUUAGAGCUAGUAGAGCUGGGCACUGGAAGUUCAGGAUCUCCCUUAAAAGUUCAGGAUCUCCCUUAAAGGUCUAGUAGUUUGACAGGCUUCUCUUCACACUGGGUCUUGGCAUUGAGUAUCCUGCCACACCUUCAACCCCUAGGCCUGGGGUGUCAGGGAGAAAGUGCUUAUUGGCUUUUUAAAUGGGCCAUUCCUGCCUUGCAGCGGUCAUAAAGUAAAGAUUGAUAAUCAUGCUCCAGCAAAAUGUUGAGACCUUUAACUUUAUCCUAAAGAUGAAAAUUAAAGAUAUUAGUAAUGAUUCUUUGUAUAAGAUAUCUUGAGUUUUACAGCUGAUUUAAGGAACUGUAUUAUUCUAUUAUUUUACAGGAAACAAAUACUGAGUUCCAGCUACAUAAAAGAAAUAUUGCAUCAUUAUGGUGGUUUAGAACAUGUGAUCAUCCAUUGAUUUAAUCUAAUAAAGCUGUUACACCAACAACA